GCGCCCGUAGCUCAACUGGAUAGAGUACUUGACUACGAAUCAAGCGGUUAGAGGUUCGAGUCCUCUCGGGCGCG
rnacentral:tRNA from 1 species